rnacentral:lncRNA from 1 species
ACCCCAUGAAGAUAUUUUACUGAGAUGUGAAUUCUGCGCUAAAACUUUUAAAUCAGAUCUGGGCUUGAGUCAACACAGAAGAAUACAUAAUGGUGUGCUUAUACACUGUAAGGUGUGUGACGAAGCCUUCCAAAGUCUUCAUGGUUGCAAACGGCAUGAGAAGUUGAUCCAUAACUACCAUCUAGUAUUAGUUGAUAC